rnacentral:rRNA from 3 species
GGUUGACCUCGGAUUAGGUAGGAAUACCC